AUCCCAUGAUGAGGACAUUGUCGCAACAGUUCCUUGAAUCUUUCCCAAGAAUCAUAAAGUGACUCAUCUUCCCCCUGUCUAAAAGUUGUUAUCUCAUUCCUCUUCUU